rnacentral:rRNA from 1 species
GGUUAAGCGACUAAGCGUACACGGUGGAUGCCCUGGCAGUCAGAGGCGAUGAAGGACGUGCUAAUCUGCGAUAAGCGUCGGUAAGGUGAUAUGAACCGUUAUAACCGGCGAUUUCCGAAUGGGGAAACCCAGUGUGAUUCGUCACACUAUCAUUAACUGAAUCCAUAGGUUAAUGAGGCGAACCGGGGGAACUGAAACAUCUAAGUACCCCGAGGAAAAGAAAUCAACCGAGAUUCCCCCAGUAGCGGCGAGCGAACGGGGAGCAGCCCAGAGCCUGAAUCAGUGUGUGUGUUAGUGGAAGCGUCUGGAAAGGCGUGCGAUACAGGGUGACAGCCCCGUACACAAAAAUGCACAUACUGUGAGCUCGAUGAGUAGGGCGGGACACGUGGUAUCCUGUCUGAAUAUGGGGGGACCAUCCUCCAAGGCUAAAUACUCCUGACUGACCGAUAGUGAACCAGUACCGUGAGGGAAAGGCGAAAAGAACCCCGGCGAGGGGAGUGAAAAAGAACCUGAAACCGUGUACGUACAAGCAGUGGGAGCACGCUUAGGCGUGUGACUGCGUACCUUUUGUAUAAUGGGUCAGCGACUUAUAUUCUGUAGCAAGGUUAACCGAAUAGGGGAGCCGAAGGGAAACCGAGUCUUAACUGGGCGUUAAGUUGCAGGGUAUAGACCCGAAACCCGGUGAUCUAGCCAUGGGCAGGUUGAAGGUUGGGUAACACUAACUGGAGGACCGAACCGACUAAUGUUGAAAAAUUAGCGGAUGACUUGUGGCUGGGGGUGAAAGGCCAAUCAAACCGGGAGAUAGCUGGUUCUCCCCGAAAGCUAUUUAGGUAGCGCCUCGUGAAUUCAUCUCCGGGGGUAGAGCACUGUUUCGGCAAGGGGGUCAUCCCGACUUACCAACCCGAUGCAAACUGCGAAUACCGGAGAAUGUUAUCACGGGAGACACACGGCGGGUGCUAACGUCCGUCGUGAAGAGGGAAACAACCCAGACCGCCAGCUAAGGUCCCAAAGUCAUGGUUAAGUGGGAAACGAUGUGGGAAGGCCCAGACAGCCAGGAUGUUGGCUUAGAAGCAGCCAUCAUUUAAAGAAAGCGUAAUAGCUCACUGGUCGAGUCGGCCUGCGCGGAAGAUGUAACGGGGCUAAACCAUGCACCGAAGCUGCGGCAGCGACGCUUAUGCGUUGUUGGGUAGGGGAGCGUUCUGUAAGCCUGUGAAGGUGUGCUGUGAGGUAUGCUGGAGGUAUCAGAAGUGCGAAUGCUGACAUAAGUAACGAUAAAGCGGGUGAAAAGCCCGCUCGCCGGAAGACCAAGGGUUCCUGUCCAACGUUAAUCGGGGCAGGGUGAGUCGACCCCUAAGGCGAGGCCGAAAGGCGUAGUCGAUGGGAAACAGGUUAAUAUUCCUGUACUUGGUGUUACUGCGAAGGGGGGACGGAGAAGGCUAUGUUGGCCGGGCGACGGUUGUCCCGGUUUAAGCGUGUAGGCUGGUUUUCCAGGCAAAUCCGGAAAAUCAAGGCCGAGGCGUGAUGACGAGGCACUACGGUGCUGAAGCAACAAAUGCCCUGCUUCCAGGAAAAGCCUCUAAGCAUCAGGUAACAUCAAAUCGUACCCCAAACCGACACAGGUGGUCAGGUAGAGAAUACCAAGGCGCUUGAGAGAACUCGGGUGAAGGAACUAGGCAAAAUGGUGCCGUAACUUCGGGAGAAGGCACGCUGAUACGUAGGUGAAGCGACUUGCUCGUGGAGCUGAAAUCAGUCGAAGAUACCAGCUGGCUGCAACUGUUUAUUAAAAACACAGCACUGUGCAAACACGAAAGUGGACGUAUACGGUGUGACGCCUGCCCGGUGCCGGAAGGUUAAUUGAUGGGGUUAGCGCAAGCGAAGCUCUUGAUCGAAGCCCCGGUAAACGGCGGCCGUAACUAUAACGGUCCUAAGGUAGCGAAAUUCCUUGUCGGGUAAGUUCCGACCUGCACGAAUGGCGUAAUGAUGGCCAGGCUGUCUCCACCCGAGACUCAGUGAAAUUGAACUCGCUGUGAAGAUGCAGUGUACCCGCGGCAAGACGGAAAGACCCCGUGAACCUUUACUAUAGCUUGACACUGAACAUUGAGCCUUGAUGUGUAGGAUAGGUGGGAGGCUUUGAAGUGUGGACGCCAGUCUGCAUGGAGCCGACCUUGAAAUACCACCCUUUAAUGUUUGAUGUUCUAACGUGGACCCGUGAUCCGGGUUGCGGACAGUGUCUGGUGGGUAGUUUGACUGGGGCGGUCUCCUCCUAAAGAGUAACGGAGGAGCACGAAGGUUGGCUAAUCCUGGUCGGACAUCAGGAGGUUAGUGCAAUGGCAUAAGCCAGCUUGACUGCGAGCGUGACGGCGCGAGCAGGUGCGAAAGCAGGUCAUAGUGAUCCGGUGGUUCUGAAUGGAAGGGCCAUCGCUCAACGGAUAAAAGGUACUCCGGGGAUAACAGGCUGAUACCGCCCAAGAGUUCAUAUCGACGGCGGUGUUUGGCACCUCGAUGUCGGCUCAUCACAUCCUGGGGCUGAAGUAGGUCCCAAGGGUAUGGCUGUUCGCCAUUUAAAGUGGUACGCGAGCUGGGUUUAGAACGUCGUGAGACAGUUCGGUCCCUAUCUGCCGUGGGCGCUGGAGAACUGAGGGGGGCUGCUCCUAGUACGAGAGGACCGGAGUGGACGCAUCACUGGUGUUCGGGUUGUCAUGCCAAUGGCACUGCCCGGUAGCUAAAUGCGGAAGAGAUAAGUGCUGAAAGCAUCUAAGCACGAAACUUGCCCCGAGAUGAGUUCUCCCUGACCCUUUAAGGGUCC